rnacentral:rRNA from 1 species
GACGAACGCUGGCGGCGUGCUUAACACAUGCAAGUCGAACGGAAAGGCCCUGCUUUUGUGGGGUGCUCGAGUGGCGAACGGGUGAGUAACACGUGAGUAACCUGCCCUUGACUUUGUGAUAACUUCAGGAAACUGGGGCUCAUACCGGGUAGGAGCUCCUGCUGCGUGUUGUGGGUUGGAAAGUUUCGGCGGUAGGGGAUCGACUGGCGGCUUAUCAGCUUGUUGGGGGGGUAGUGGCUGACAAAGGGUUUGACGGGUAGCCGGCCUGGGAGGGGUAACGGCGACAUGGGUACUGCGAUACGGACCAGAAUCGUACGGGCGGCAGCAGUGGGGAAUAUUGCACAAUGGGCGGAAGCCUGAGGCAGCAACGCCGCGUGCGGGAUGACGGCCUUCGGGUUGUAAACCGCUUUCGCCUGUGACGAAGCGUGAGUGACGGUAAUGGGUAAAGAAGCACCGGCUAACUACGUG